UUGAAAAAGAAAAAAAUAUAUAAACAAACCCACAGAAGAAGAGAUCAGGUUUAUGGUUACCAGGGGUGGGAGUGGGAGGUAAUAAUGGGGGUAGAUGAGCUGGGGGAGGAGGGAUUGGAUGAAGCCAGUCAAAAGGUGAUACAAACUUCCAGUAAUGAGAUAAAUAAGUACUACAGAUGUAAUGGACAACAUGAGACAUACAGUUAGCACCACUGUAUGUUUUAUAUGAAACUUGUCAAGAGAGUAAAUCCUAAGAGCCCUCAUUACAAACAAUUUUUUUUUAUUUCUCUAAUUUGUAUCGAGAUGAGAUGACGCAUGCUCACUAAACAUGUGAUAAUCAUUUCAUGAUGGAUAUAAGUCAAAUCAUUAUGCUGUGGUACCUUAAAGUUACAGAGUGCUAUAGUUCAAUUAUAUCAAUAAAACUGGAAGAUAGAUCAAUAAAUAAGUAAAUUGUCUCUGCUAGGUACGUGGGAGAAGUCUUAAAAGGUUCACAAUUACUAGAUGAG